UCGUAUCGCAUGUGUCGUGCGCGUGUUUCUUUUUUUUUUUUUUUUUCAAAUAAUUGUAACUCUUGAAACAAAUGACUCGCGUGAGAAGAAACGACCACUUGUCACGAGUUUGCCCGCGAUAUUUGUCGGUUUCAACGAGAUCGUUCAGUGCUAAGCUCGCGUUUUUUACAAUUUAUCCCCGUUUAACGUCGCGGAUAUGUCGCGAAUGUUUGAAAUUGUUGGAUCGAAUCGAACGAAGAGCAGUUCGUUAAAUUAAAAGGAAGAAUUGUGCAGGAACGCGGGAAAGUCACGUGAAAAUAAUGUUCCGAGCGGGAACGCUUAUUUUUCAACAUACGCUUCGCACGUAUGGUAAUACUCAUUCAUUCCUAGUGGCGUUUCGUAUUUCAUUCGAGAUCAUGUUUCUUGUGAUUACCGUGCAUUUCCUGUUGUUAACUUUUUCAUUGAUCGAUCGAGCUCCAAAUAGUUGUCGCACUUCUCUUCGAAAUCGAAUCUAGAUAAAAUCAGUGCAGUGUUCACGAAAGAUCUCAACGAUAUUCCGAGGUCACUGGGUGAGAUCGUAGCAAACGAUGACGAUUCCGAAGAGCUAAAUGCAUCGUGUUAUUACAUUAAUAACGACGGAAGAACGCAUCAAUGACCAGUAAUGUUGAAUAGAAGCUAAAGGUCAUGAGAUUUCCUUCGAUUGUUCGGUCAUGUACGACACGAUUACUCUUGAAUGUUAAACAUAGUACAGGAGCCUAAUAAUAUGUAUUGUUUUUAGGAAUCAUUCGCAUAGCUAUUAGCUUUAUUAAAAACAGAAUAACAACAACGUAAAUCACGUGUUCAAGAAAAAUCGACUUGUUUGUAUGGAUUAGAUAUCAAAGUAACUUUCGUCUUAUUUCCCUCGUAAAUACGUUCACGACCACGCAAAUAAGAUUAACUCCUAACCACUAAAGUCACCUCCGAUAAGCGGAAACCAUUAUUAAUACAUUUUGCGAGAAACAUUCGCCGAUCUCGCUGUAAUUCUUACCGACGAUCGUUCAGAUUUGUCUUCUUUCGAUUGUUCGGUAGAAAACAUAACUCUGUAUAAUCCUAACACCGAUACACGAUCCUUUAUCAUGGCUCGGUUUUCUUUCAUUCGCGAAGAUACAUAGGCCGUUUGCGUGCUCCUCAAAACUCGAUUGCUCCCAACUACAUACUUAUGUUUUUCCAUACUCGGUUUACAUCUGAAACGAGAUCGCACGCGACCGCACAUGUAACCCCGCAAAAGUAUCGUUCCAACCUGACACUUGACAAACAUAUCGAAGCCUCGAGAAAUAAAACGAGAAGGAAAAUGCACCGACACGAUCAUCGGUGUCGAUCAAGGAAACGAAAAGCAUCGUAGUCCACCUACGAAAACAAACGAUUCUUCCUUACAAAUAUGUACAACAUGCUGUACAUUGUAAUUAAAGGCAUGAUUUGGUUGUUCUGAACAUAAUGGUACCCGGAACCGUGGUUCGCUUUUAUCUUUGCGACUUCUUGACCCCGACGCGUACGAUAAUGUCUAGAAACACGAGAGAACGGUCUCCGAAGAAAGUCGAAGGUCCUAGAAUCGGAGUAGCAUCGAUGAAAUAAAGUUUUUAACGAGAGAACUUUGAACGUGUAGGUUCAAAGCGAAAACGGUAACGAUGCCGGAGGCCAGAGAGUUUAUUCACAGCUUCCUGUUACCUGUUGCAUCUUCUCAAUCUAGGUCUCUCCUGUCCUCUCAACUGUCGGGAAUGACGCAAUAAUUGUAAGGCGAAAAAUUGUGUCCGUCGAGACAGUUACGGGAAAAUCGUAAACUAUAUCCCGAUCUUGAUACGAAAGACUCGUCGCUCUUAAAAUAGAACAACGCUUUCGGUCGCGACGAGACACACAGUGGUCCAGGCUUUCUCGUGGCACCGCGAGAUUUUUUCCCAACCGCGUGUCGGUAGGAUUUUUCUCAAGUAUCUUUUCGAGGCACGAAUCGCAUUUUUUUUAUACAUUUUCGUUCCUGGAACCCUCCUUCGCUUCUCGGAAUCUUCUUUUCCCUCCCGUCUGUCAUCCACCCACAAUUUGCGCAUCGUUGCCUAAUAAGUUGACGAGCUAUUUCACGAACACCCAGAGGGAGCCGACAUUAACAGAAAUUAACGUUAAUUGGUCUACUACUCCCUCUAUUUUCCCCUUCUUCUCUCCGGUCCGAUGGUUCACGACUUCCCCUUUUCUGGAAUUCUUCGCUUCUUUCUUUCGAUCCUCUUACGUAUCCGUUUUAUCUUUCUCCUCGUUCGCCGUUGAACGUACUUUUUCUCUUUCAUACGUCUGAUCUUCGUCGAAGAGAGGAAAAAACGAAGCGCUACCAGCAAGAGAAGAGCAAGCGCGCGCGCGCAUUAUGCGUGCAAGAUGCGUGGCAGAAGGGGCCGCGCGUCCAGCUGAAUCUGCAAGACCCGCGACAUCUUCUAGUAAUCCUCUUUGGCUUACGAUGGAUUUGCAUUUUUAACUCGACAUUCUCGCAACAGCAGUCCAUUUCGUUUUGCGGAUACACAACUAUUCGAUAACGAUGAAUAGAAGAAGAUGAAGAAGAAGUUCGGUGGUUGUUACUUCUAUGCUUCACUAGCGCCGUGAAUCAUCAAACAGAAGUCUCGGAGAAAUUUGUUCGAAAAAGAUCGUGCUGACCAGAUCCAUCGACUCGUACCACGACUAGUGAGACGGAUGAAUACGAUGUUUGAUGAAACGAGAAGCGUUAUACGGAGGGACGCGGACCGACGAAAUCAAAGAUUCGAUUCGGAACCGAUCGACGAAUUUAAGUAAGGUCUAAUAACGAGAGCAGGGACGUGUUAAUCGAAGUCCCCGGCACCUUUGGAUGCACCUUUUCGUUAGAAGAAAAGGAUCUCUGAUUCAGAGCAUUGUGAGGACUGAAGCAACAGGUUUCAAUGCGAUGUGGUGCUGCUUUGCGUUUGAAAUUUCUUGGAGAGAAGGAAGAAGGGAAGAAAGAACGAAGAGGCUACAAUAGUGGGCGACUUUAAUGACUUCUCGAGGUCGCUUCAAUGAGUACCACUGUGUGUCAACGCGUCAUUAUAGUUUGCACGAUAUAUAGUAUACGGUACCACGUCCGGGCUAAUAACUAUGACGUAAAUUUUUACUAUCGGUACCGGUUAGUAACAACUUUAUAUUUUUGAAAAAAAUCUGUCUAUUAGCGCGCUAAUUCUUAUAAAUAGGGUAACUUUAUUGAUUUAGGACUUCUAUCCGUUUCGUAAAACGAUUAUAGCGUACGCAUAGCGAAUGUGUCACGCAAUAUCUAUGGGGCUACUGUAUUCUUCUGUCGAUUAUCUAAUCUUGCGCUAAAUUAUAGCGAAUCAUACUCACUUACGUUACAUUAGGAUUUUCUUACAGGAUAAUUUCAUUUGUUACAAUUUCAACCAUAUUACCGUGUAAUAUAUUUCACCGUAUUAAUACGUUCUUGAAUACACGAAUGCGCUCAUACCGUGAACAAGGCUCUUCAUUGUUUGUUAGUGAAGAAUAGGCCUAACUGUGCAAGAACUAAUACACUGGCUAUUUUUUUUCUCUCUCUCUUCUUGAAGUAAUAUUUUUAUUGAUUAAUUCUGUACGAUACUGUUUAUUAUAGGGAUUUGAAGUAACAUGCCCAAGGAAUAAUAUGACCGUCGAUGGAAUCAUAAGAUGAAGAUGGACUACGAUCAAUGGAUCAUAAAUCCUGUCCUGUUCCUAAGUACUAGUGCCGCAGGAGUGAUUAGGUUGGGUUAGAAAUUACCAUAUCUCCUGCUGCUCAAGUGCUUAUCAAUGGGUCGGGACGCACAUCUACUUCUUCGUUCAUAUGCUGAUACUUCUAUAUGAAUUGGAAUAUCUUUCAAGCAAUAUUGCAGUUUAUUAUAUCGCAGUUGCGUAUAGUACAACAUAAAAUUGUUUUUAUGAAAAAAUGAAAAAAAAA